GUGCUUAGCUUCAGCAGCACAUAUACUAAAAUUGGAACAGAAAAGAUUAGCAUGGCCCCAGCGCAAAGGGAUUACACGCAAAUUCGUGAAGCAGUCCAUAUUUUU